CUAGAGAGAGAUAUAUCUAUUUGAGUAAAAUAAUAAGGGAUGUUGAUUGGACUUUGGGUUUGGUAUAAGCACAAGGCUGAGAAAGAAAAAAGAACAAAGAAAACAAUUAAUCACAAGGUCGUAAGAACUUACAUCCUUCUUUGUUUGCAGUGUGUUAAAAUUACUUAUGUAUUGAUUGUUCAUCUUAUAUUUUGUUCUCUUUUACACUUGGCACAUGAUUUUGACAAAAUACUUUAUAUUUCCAGAAAAUAUGAGGAGAUCUAUGCACCCCUGGUUGAAGAAUUUUGUUACAUUACUUAUAGGGUCCCUUAUUGAUAACACAUGUUUUAAGGAAAGAGUGGGCAGUAAAGGCGCGCAAAUCAUAUAGCCAAAAUGAUAUUGACGAGGUGUGCAUUGAAGUGGCUGAUUAUAUACAGAGUUUGGUGUAAGACUUUUGGCUUCCAUGAUUUUGAGUAAGGCUAGUUUUUGCUUUGAAGCAAAGUUUGGUGUAGAACGUACUUUUGUAGUUGGUUGCUAAUAUGUUUCUAAGCUAGCCUUUGUAGGUUUUGGGUUUUAUUUUGUGAAUUAUGUUGAAUCAUGAAUUUGGAAAGAAAAUUAAUGGAAAGCUCCAAUUUUUGGGUGAUGAGAAAUG